rnacentral:rRNA from 1 species
GCCAGACUCCUACGGGAGGCAGCAGUGGGGAAUAUUGCACAAUGGGGGGAACCCUGAUGCAGCGACGCCGCGUGGGUGAAGGAGCACCUCGGUGCGUAAAGCCCUAUCGGCAGGGAAGAAAAGCGAACAGGUUCGCCUGGACGGUACCUGGCUAAGAAGCCCCGGCUAACUACGUGCCAGCAGCCGCGGUAAUACGUAGGGGGCAAGCGUUAUCCGGAUUCACUGGGUGUAAAGGGAGCGUAGACGGCGACGCAAGUCAGAUGUGAAAAUUAUGGGCUCAACCCAUAACCUGCAUUUGAAACUGUAGUUCUUGAGUGAUGGAGAGGCAGGCGGAAUUCCGUGUGUAGCGGUGAAAUGCGUAGAUAUACGGAGGAACACCAGUGGCGAAGGCGGCCUGCUGGACAUUAACUGACGCUGAGGCGCGAAAGCGUGGGGAGCAAACAGGAUUAGAUACCCGUGUA